UACGGAGGGUGCAAACGUUGCUCGGAAUCAUUGGGCGUAAAGCGCACGUAGGCGGACCGCUAAGUCGGGUGUGAAAGCCCCGGGCUCAACCUGGGAAUUGCAUUCGAGACUGAAUAGCUAGGGUACGGUAGAGGGAAGUGGAAUUUCCGGUGUAGCGGUGAAAUGCGUAGAUAUCGGAAGGAACAUCAGUGGCGAAAGCGACUUCCUGGACCAGUACCGACGUUCAGGCACGAAAGCGUGGGGAGCAAACAGG
rnacentral:rRNA from 1 species